rnacentral:rRNA from 1 species
CACGUAGGGGGCAAGCGUUGUCCGGAUUUAUUGGGCGUAAAGAGCUCGUAGGUGGUUCGGUAAGUCGGGUGUGAAACCUCCAGGCUCAACCUGGAGACGCCACCCGAUACUGCUGUGACUGGAGUCCGGUAGGGGAGCGUGGAAUUCCUGGUGUAGCGGUGAAAUGCGUAGAUAUCGGAAGGAACACCAGUGGCGAAAGCGGCUUCCUGGUCCAGCACCGACGUUCAGGCACGAAAGCGUGGGGAGCAAACAGG